GACGAACGCUGGCGGCGUGCUUAACACAUGCAAGUCGAACGGAAAGGCCUGCUUUCCCUUGUGGAUUGCGGGUACUCGAGUGGCGAACGGGUGAGUAACACGUGAGUGAUCUGCCCCCAACUUGGGUAUAAGCCUGGGAUACUGGGUCUAAUUUCCGAUAGGACUGCAGGGUGGUGCCUGUGGUGGACAACGAUUUUCUAGUGGUUGGGGAUGAGCUCGCGGCCUAUCAGCUUGUUGCUGGGGUAAUGGCCUACCAAGGCGGCGACGGGUAGCCGGCCUGAGAGGGGGGACGGCCACAUUGGGACUGAGAUACGGCUCAGACGCCUGCGAGAGGCAGCAAUUGGGAAUAUUGCAGAGUGGGCGGGAGCCUGAUGCAGCGAGGGCGCGAGGAGGAUGUCGGCAUUCGAGUUGUAAACUCCUUUCGACCGAGAGGAAGCCACCUGGUUGGAAGGGUGGUGACGGUAGUGGUAGAAGAAGCACCGGCUAACUACGUG
rnacentral:rRNA from 1 species